UUCAAGAAUUCAAGGAACCUGAUUCAUGCAUGUAGGUGGAUCUUGAAUGCAUGCUGAUUUUUGAGCUAAAUAAAAAAUCGCAAUCAUGGUCGAGAAUGUGAAGAAUGGUGAAUUACAUGUGGAAGUCAAGCUAAAAUCGAGAGCUUAUUUUCCAUCUACACCCUACUCACGGAGUUGAUGAUCAUUGAGAUAAGUAAUCGGUUCAAGUGCUUCACUUAGCACAUCGAGACUAGCCG